AAGUCGUAACAAGGUUUCCGUAGGUGAACCUGCGGAAGGAUCAUUAACACGUAUCCACGUAUCAACCAAUGAGAACCGUUUUCCCGUCUCCCUGUGCAAAGAAUGAAUUGGAACCAGUUUGAGGGGGUGAUGGGAGCGCAAGCUCGACCUUCCUGGUAUACUUAUGUAAAUAGAAAUGUUUGCAUAGACAAUUGUAUUUUUGUUACAGGCUAUUUCUUAUCGCUUUGAUCCCCAUCAUGAUCGUGGCGGUAGGGAAAUCUUCACAAAAUUUACCUUUUUUGCUAGUUGACUUUUUAUAUGUGUUGUCUUGCGAAAGCAUGGUGGCACACGUUUAUUAAUUGAACGUUAAAAAAUACAACUCUUAGCAAUGGAUAUCUUGGUUCUC
rnacentral:misc_RNA from 1 species